rnacentral:rRNA from 1 species
UACGGGGGGAGCAAGCGUUGUUCGGAUUUACUGGGCGUAAAGGGCGCGUAGGCGGUCAGCACAAGUCAGUUGUGAAAUCUCCGGGCUUAACUCGGAAAGGUCAACUGAUACUGUGCGACUAGAGUGCAGAAGGGGCAACUGGAAUUCUCGGUGUAGCGGUGAAAUGCGUAGAUAUCAGGAGGAACACCGGUGGCGAAGGCGGCCCUCUGGACGGUGACUGACGCUGAGACGCGAAAGCGUGGGGAGCAAACAGG